UACGAAGGGGGCUAGCGUUGCUCGGAAUCACUGGCGUAAAGCGCACGUAGGCGGAUUGCUAAGUCAGGGGUGAAAUCCUGGGAGCUCAACUCCAGAACUGCCUUUGAUACUGGCGGUCUCGAGUCCGGGAGAGGUGAGUGGAACUGCGAGUGUAGAGGUGAAAUUCGUAGAUAUUCGCAAGAACACCAGUGGCGAAGGCG
rnacentral:rRNA from 1 species